AUUGAACGCUGGCGGCAUGCCUUACACAUGCAAGUCGAACGGCAGCGGGGGCGAAGCUUGCUUUUACUGCCGGCGAGUGGCGAACGGGUGAGUAAUACAUCGGAACGUGCACUGUAGUGGGGGAUAACUAGUCGAAAGAUUAGCUGAUACCGCAUACGACGUGAGGGUGAAAGUGGGGGACAGCAAGGCCUCAAGCUAUAGGAGCGGCCGAUGUCUGAUUAGCUAGUUGGUGGGGUAAAGGCCUACCAAGGGGAAGAUCAGUAGCUGGUCUGGGAGGACGAGCAGCCACACUGGGACUGAGACACGGCCCAGACUCCUACGGGAGGCAGCAGUGGGGAAUUUUGGACAAUUGGCGAAAGCCGUAUCCAGCAAUGCCGCGUGUGUGAAGAAGGCCUUCUGGUUGUAAAGCACUUUUGUCCAGAAAGAAAUGGCUCCGGUUAAUACCUGGGGUCGAUGACGGUACCGGAAGAAUAAGGACCGGCUAACUACGUGCCAGCCGCCGCCGUAAGAC
rnacentral:rRNA from 1 species